rnacentral:rRNA from 1 species
UACAGAGGGUGCGAGCGUUGUCCGGAAUCACUGGGCGUAAAGGGCGCGUAGGCGGUUUGCUAAGCGUGCGGUGAAAGCUCGGGGCUCAACCCCGAGUCGGCCGUGCGAACUGGUGGACUGGAGCAUGUCAGAGGCAGGCGGAAUUCCGGGUGUAGCGGUGGAAUGCGUAGAGAUCCGGAAGAACACCGGUGGCGAAGGCGGCCUGCUGGGACAUUGCUGACGCUGAGGCGCGACAGCGUGGGGAGCAAACAGG